rnacentral:ribozyme from 14 species
AUUUAAAUUUUUUUUUUAAACAUUGUUACAAUUAUGGAAAGAUUAAAAAAAAGUAGAAAAAAGU